rfam:Erwinia carotovora subsp. atroseptica SCRI1043, complete genome
CAUCGUCCACUCGGACGAUCACCAAUGAUCUUUCAGUCUGUGAGGAUCGCCUUCGGGUGACUGAAUCACUUUUCCAGAGCCUGUAAGGAAAAGGGCGUGAUUAAGAAGCGCGGUAAAUCUGCCAUCCUUUGAGAGCAGAUGUCACCAGGUAGUUUAAA